rnacentral:rRNA from 1 species
AUUGAACGCUGGCGGCAGGCCUAACACAUGCAAGUCGAACGAGUGGCGGACGGGUGAGUAAUGUCUGGGAAACUGCCUGAUGGAGGGGGAUAACACUUGGAAACAGGUGAUAAUACCGCAUACCAUCGGAUGUGCCCAGAUGGGAUUAGCUAGUAGGUGGGGUAAAGGCUCACCUAGGCGACGAUCCCUAGCUGGUCUGAGAGGAUGACCAGCCACACUGGAACUGAGACACGGUCCAGACUCCUACGGGAGUCAGCAGUGGGGAAUAUUGCACAAUGGGCGCAAGCCUGAUGUAUCCAUGCCGCGUGUAUGAAGAAGGCUUUCGGGUUGUAAAGUACGUUCAGCGGGGAGGCGUUACCCGCAGAAGAAGCACCGGCUAACUCCGUGCCAGCAGCCGCGGUAAUUC